AUUGAACGCUGGCGGCAGGCCUAACACAUGCAAGUCGAGCGAGCGGCGGACGGGUGAGUAAUGUCUGGGAAACUGCCUGAUGGAGGGGGAUAACUACUGGAAACGGUAGCUAAUACCGCAUACCAUCAGAUGUGCCCAGAUGGGGUGAGCUAGUAGGUGGGGUAACGGCUCACCUAGGCGCCGAUCCCUAGCUUGUAUGAGAGGAGGACCAGCCACACGGGACCUGGGCCACGGUCCAGAUUCCUACGGGAGGCAGCAGUGGGGAAUAGUGCACAAUGGGCGCAAGCCUGAUGCAGCCAUGCCGCGUGUGUGAAGAAGGCCUUCGGGUUGUAAAGCACUUUCAGCGGUGAGGCGUUACCCGCAGAAGAAGCACCGGCUAACUCCGUGCCAGCAGCCGCGGUAAUAC
rnacentral:rRNA from 1 species